GCUCAAAUUUGAAAUCUCCUGGCUUUGUCAGGCGAAUUGUAGUUUAAAGAAUCUUUUUCGGGGACAGGGGGGUAUAAGUCCUUUGGAACAAGGCAUCGUAGAGGGUGACAAUCCCGUUCACGAUCCCGCCAUUGGCCCUAUGUGAUAAGAUUUCAAAGAGUCGGGUUGUUUGGGAAUGCAGCCCUAAAUGGGUGGUAAAUACCAUCUAAAGCUAAAUAUUGGCGAGAGACCGAUAGCGAACAAGUACCGUGAGGGAAAGAUGAAAAGAACUUUGAAAAGAGAGUUAAAUAGUACGUGAAAUUGUCAAUAGUGAACGGUUUAGAACUAUUGUUUGUCCUGGGAAAAUCAAUUGGUCCAAGCGGCCAGUGCACUUUUCCUCGGACAGGUCAACAUCAGUUUGGGCUCGGGAUAAAAAGCUCCAUGCGCCUCGGCAAGUGGAGUGCUGUCCCGGACCGGACUGAGGACUGCAGCACAGUCAUAGGAUAGCCAGUCGCCUCAGUGCGUACGGAUGUAAACAGCAUGCUGAUUGCGUCUAGUGCGGACGGAGCUCGGUGGGUGAUUUCUCUCCUGUCGCUUAGGAUGUUGACGAAAUGGUUUUAAGCCACCCGUCUUGAAACACGGACCAAGGAGUCUAACAUAUCUGCGAGUUUUUGGGUGCCAAACCCAUAAGCGCAAUGAAAGUGAAUAAGAUGGGAUCCUCGGAGCACCAUCGACCGGUCUGGAUUUUUUUGAUAGAUCUGAGUUAGAGCAUAUAUGUUAGGACCCGAAAGAUGGUGAACUAAGCCUGAAUAGGGUGAAGCCAGAGG
rnacentral:rRNA from 1 species